AGUAGUGAGUUCUUAAUAGAAUUGAAUAUAUUUUCCAGCAAAUAGCACUGAAUCUCACAUAAGGCUGUGUGGCACGGGUUGCUUCAGUCACCCACCUGGCAGGCCUUGCUGCGUGUUUGGAGUGUGACAAACCUAGGUGGUCUGGGCCCAUCUCAGGGGUUACAUGACCCACCAGCCAAAGAGCACUGCACAGUCACACAUUGUAUUUCUCCUGCUCUAAGUGUAUUCAGAGUAAACCACCUAGCUCAAGACUUCUCUUUUUCUCUCUAAUUUUUCAUCCAUUUAGUAAAACAGUUUAUCUUGGAACUAAAAGCAGCAAUAUUUGAUUGAUACUAACCAUGGUACCUCUGAAUGGACUAAACCUAGAUUCUUCCUCCCUUUCUUCCUUCCGUUCUUCCCUCCCUCCCUCCCUCCUACCCCCCUUCCACCCCUCCCCAAACCCAAGGGGCUUUUAAAGGCUGCUCUGUGGCAGGGAAGGUCUUUGGGGACUGGCUGCCCGAAGGGUGGCUGUGUCAGGAAAGAACACGGGGGUGGGGUGGGCAGGAGACUGCCAGGCACUCUCUGGUCUGGCACAGGAAGGGUGGGACUGCUUUUUGGAGAACCAUGGGGCAUGACUGCCCCACUGUCAUGGGAUAGUGUCUGGGACAGUGUCAGGACUUAAGUAUCCCAGGUGUCAUGAAAGAAACCUCUGGAGAAAAACAACGUGCAGGAGCCCUUUAUCGUAAUGCCACUUGCAGGUUACCGCUCUGAAAGCAAAGCCGGACUCGGGCCCUGCCGGGGUAGGCAGUCUUUGUCUGCCUGCGCGCCGGAGCGCUGCGCUCGGGCUGGGGAUUGAUUUUUGGCCCCCGCCGCAGCAAGUUGGGGGCUGGCGAGGCGCGUGGCGGCGGCUGGGGGCGGAGUGCGGCUGGGCUCCGCUCCGCCAGGCAGCCCGCUGCUGCCUCGGGUUUGUUGGAACUUGGAAUUUCCAUAUGGCAAAAAAGAAAGAGGGCUUCUCCUCGACCUAACGGAGCCGCUACCGUCUCCCGACGACGCCGCCGACAGGAAUGAAGAAUGAGGCUGGACGUCGGGUCUUGAGUCCAGAACAAGGAAGGAGAGGCUCGGCGGUACAGACAGCUCUGCAGGCCCUCCUCGUGGAAUGAGAGCAUGUCCGAGCUGAAGGCCCCGAGUUCCCGCUGCCGUGUGGGUGUUGACCCGCCAGUGACUCCACCAUGGCCUCCGUCCUCGUGGUCACCAUCUACUAAGACAGACUGAAGAGGUAAACGAUAAUUUGAGGAUAAAAAAAGGUACGAGAGUCUUAGAGGCCAGGCCAGCAGCUCAGGCUGAGCAGAGGGCAGGAAAGGCCUUCCUAACGGCUGCCUAGAGCCCAGCUGCAGAAAGAGGGCUUUGCUGGGUGGACGGGGUGCAGGCAUCCCAGUGGGGUUCGGGUCACAGCAGCACGCACACGUGCCAGCCUGGGGGCUCUGCUGCACCGUGGGGGAGGGGCAGGGAGGGGCUGGGACUCUGUCUCGACAGCAGUGGGAAGCCUCGGAGCUCAUAUUGACCCUCUGGAAGAGUCACUUUGGAUCCUGUGGAUGGCAGUGGGGUUAGCCUAAAGGCAGGGAGGUCUGACAGUCAAUCUGUUGAAGUAAAAUUACCCGUUACAAAAUAGCACUGUGGAUGUCCCUAAAAUAGUCAGUGCCAUUUUGAUUCUCCUGAGAGAGUCAUCCUAGCACUUAGCAAAAAGUAACUGGGGGAGCCAGGCGUGGUGGCGCAUGCUUGUAGUCCCAGCUACUUGGGAGGCUGAGGCAGGAGAAUCUCUUGAGCCUGGAGUUUGUAGCCACGGUCUGGGCAACAUAGCAAGACCCCAUCUCGAAAGAAAGUAACUGGGCUACAGAGUCUUGGUUGAAAUCAUUCAUUUAUCCAACCAGCAUCCCGUGUGGCCAACACUGGGGCUGCAGUGGUGAGUUGGACUUGCGUGGAGGAGACUGCACUCCCACUCCAUGAUAAGAGAUGCCUGCGGAGCAAGUUCCAGAAGAGUGGGAUCAGAUACUGGGGUUGGGAGUCCAGGAAGCGACUUUCGAGCCGAAACCUGAAGUUGGUAUUUAACUGUGCAAAGCAGGGAGGGAGGCAUUCCAGGCGGAGGAUGGCGCAUGUGUGAAGGUUCUGGGGUAGGAGGGGGCAUGGCCCAUUUUGAGAAGUUUAAAAGGCACAGAGAGCAAGGAGGACGCUUUGAGGGGUUAGAGGAGUAGGAGGUGGGGCCCGGGCCAGGCCCAGCCCUUGCCGGAUGCCAGCUCCUUGCAGGCGUUUGAAAUUAAAAUGUGAUGGUUAUUUGUCGAUCAUUUCUUGGUCUGCCUUUGAACCCCUGGGCACUGGUGGGGGCCUAGAUGGAACCAAGAAGUGGAGUUGGCCACAGAUAGCUCUCUGUUCAUGGCCACAGCUUCUCACCUGUUCCUGGUCACCUUUUGCCCAUGGAUGCAGGGAGGGGACAAAUGCCAGUACGUGGGUCCACAGUGUUUUACUCACUCCAUACCAACAUGACUGUCCCCUGCACAGUCUUGGCCAAAAGAGCACCUUAACUUUGCCAAAGGCCUCUUGUCUACUCAGCAAUUCGGCCUCCUUGCUUUGUUUUACAAGGAGCUAAUCCCACUUUCUGGAACUUGCUAAUUCUCAGAGUAAGUAGUUGUUGGUCCUCAAGAAAGUUCAGCCCCAUGGGAAAGCAAAAAUUCCAGGUCUCUACCCAGUGCUCAGAAAGCCAGCCACGUUACCUCGGCCAACGCCAGCACUUGCUGUAGGCCAGGUUUUCUGAUCUUAUUAUCACACUGUUUUGCAGGUACUGCAACUGGGGCCCAGAAGGGUUCAGUAACUUGACCUAGGAGCACAGGUAGGAAGGGACAGAGUCAGAAUGCAGAACCCAGACCCACCUGUUUCCAGGCCCUGGUGCGGAACCAUGUGCCACCCAGCCAUUCACUCAUCUUGUGUGUUCAGAGAGUAGGCUCCGAGCCUGCAGCGCUGGGGCUGUGGGACUUAGAGGCCGUGCACUCUGGGCCAUCUUCAACAGAAGAGCAGUCUGAUGGGGGAGAGGCACCCAGAAUCAGCUGUGUCUGCCAGGGAAGCUGAUGGCCGAGCUGGAGCUGGGUGUCCUCUCCACCCCAGCUCCUCUCCCUGCUCCUUGACCACAAGUUCCUUCAUCCCCCAGAACUCCCCAUUUCUAGCCCAGUGGGCACAGUGAUAGAUCAUGACUCUCACGGGAUGUGAUGGAUUCAAGUUCAAUUGUUUGAAGGGCCUAGAACAGCACGUGGGCCCAGACAUCAGCAUUCCUUCUGUGCUAGCGCACAAGAGCUGCACCCCUGGUUCCAUGCCCUUCCUGGGUGUCUGGCAGGAGCGACUCACGUGUGGCAGAAAUCCCCAGUUUGGCAAUUGGGACCAUAGAGGCCCCAGUGUAGAAAUGAUAGCCUAAUGUCCCAUCAGGGAUUCUUUGACUGUAGACAGGAAAACCCAAACAUUUCCGAACUCCAAGGCCACGGUGAUUUACAUGGCGUGGUGUUGAGCUAUGAUUGAUGAAUUACUCAAAGUUUCUGCCUCCCCCGACUCUGGCAAGAACUUUGGCAGAACUUCUGUGCCACAUCCAGUACUAGCAACUUGCCAAGUUUGUGUCCUUAAAAUAAAGCGGUUUCCAAGAUAGAUGGCAGAAAGUGGGAAAUGUGAUUUUUCUUGAUUGGGUAACUAAGAACCACGCAGCAGGCAGGAGCCAUUUGGGGCCAAAGAACUGUUCAUUUAAAGUGUUUAUUGACACCUGGAAAUAGGGAUUAAACUUCUAAUGCUAUUUUCACAUCAAUUUACGCUACAUAAUUUCAUCAUGGGGAUAAGAUCCAGGCAGAUACCAAAAGGAGAGUUCCAAAGUCAUUUUACUGCCGUGUUUCCCUAAGAGAGACACACGAUAUCCUGGACUUGCUGAAACCAGGGAGAGAAGGAGGAGCCCAGUGGGUCACCUGCUGGCAGAAAGGCAAGUGCCACCGUGGGUAAGGACUUCAUGGUGGCUGCUGGGUUUCUUUGCAGCCAGCCUCCAUUUUUGCUGACGUGUGUGACUGCCCCGAAUCCAUAGUGAUCGCCCUAAUGUCGUGUUCGGGAUGUGCUCCCAACUCUGCAGCGGACUGAGCCAUGGAGAGUGUGCCCCAUCCGCGAGGGAUUCCCUUUGGACCUGGUCAUCCUCAGCAGUCGUGGGAGCUCCUCCGAGUGCGGCCUUCAAGGCCUGGGGACCCUGGACAGGCAGUGAUGGGUUAAAAGUAUUUGGUUACCACUGCACCUCCCAGAGCAAACACUCAACCGCGGAGGGCUGUUUCCCUUUGAGGGUGUGUUAAGGCAGAUCCUCUUCCCAGAGAAGUGCCAACACGCAGGUAAGUUUGUGUCCAGGAUCCAGGGCUCCUGGGAGCCACGGAUGCCCACCCAUGACCCCAGGGGAGGGGAAGCUGGCAAAAGAUGCAAAAA